rnacentral:rRNA from 1 species
AUGACCGUUAGCUGGUCUGAGAGGAUUGAUCAAGCCGCGAUGGGACUUGAGACACGGCCCAUACUCCUACGGGAGGCAGCAGUAAGGAAUCUUCCACCAUGGGCGUAAGCCUGAUGGAGCAACACCGCGUGGUCGAUGAAGCCCUUCGGGGUGCAAAGACCUUUUCUGAGAGAAGAACUCCUGACGGUAUCUUAGGAAUAAGCACCGGCUAACUCCGUGCCAGCAGCCGCGGUAAUACGGAGGGUGCAAGCGUUACCCGGAAUCAUUGGGCGUAAAGCGUCCGCAGGCGGUUUGCUAAGUAAGAUGUUAAAUUUUGCAGCUCAACUGUAAAACUAUAUCUUAAACUGGCUGACUAGAGUAUUGGAGAGGUGAGUAGAAUUCUGUGUGUAGGGGUAAAAUCCGUAGAUACACAGAGGAAUACCAAAAGCGAAGGCAGCUCACUGGCCAAUUACUGACGCUCAUGGACGAAAGCGUGGGGAGCAAACGGGAUUAGAUACCCCGGUAGUCCACGCCGUAAACGAUGGAUACUAGGUGUUGGGAGACUCGACCCUCUCAGUGCCGACGCUAACGCAUUAAGUAUCCCGCCUGGGGAGUACUGGUCGCUAGAUUAGACCUCCUCAGGCAUAGACGGGGACCCACACAAGCGGUGGAGCAUGUGGUGUCAUUCGAUGAUAAGCGAGGUACUUUACCCAGACUUGACAUCCCGACCAUUUUCUAGUUAUAGAAAAGUGCCGCAAGGUCACUCGGUGACAGGUGCUGCAUGGUUGUCGUCAGCUCGUGCCUUGAGGUGUUCGGUUAAGUCCGUGUAACGAGCGCAACCCUUGUCUUGCGUUGUAUGUUUCACAAGAGACUGCCGACUUUAAGUCGGAGGAAGGUAAGGAUGACGUCUAAAUCAGCAUGGCCCUUAUGUCUGGGGCUACACACGUGCUACAAUGGCCGGUACAGAGGGCAGCAAAUCCGCAAGGAGGAGCCAAUCCCUAAAACCGGUCCAAGUUCGGAUUGAGGGCUGCAACUCGCCCUCAUGAAGCUGGAAUCGCUAGUAACCGCGUAUCAGCAAUGGCGCGGUGAAUAUGUUCCUGGGUCUUGUACUCACCGCCCGUCACGUCAUGAAAGGUGGGGGCACCCGAAGUACCGUUAGUUUUCGGACGCGGUCCUAAGGUGAAAC